CUCCAGUCGUGGUAACUCCGCCCGAACACUGCGCAUGAAGCGUCAAAAACAGCUGAUUGCAGGAAAAUCCCCCCAAAAAGUGCGAUAUUUAUUAAGACAUGUCAGGUGUAUGAGACUCCGCAUGUAGAUAUGAAACACGUAUUGUACAGUUGCAAAUGGAUCUAGUUUCAUCUAGUUACAGACCCUCAAACUGUGAGGCGGCUACGGAUAUCGACCUCAAUAACACUAGUCACUGCCGUAACCAUCGCCGGAGAAAGAAGAUAUGAAAGGAGAGCACUUACCUGCGGACGAGGAACCACAUGAUCAAAAUCACAUCAUUUAACUGUUGCGGCAUAAAGGGGGUGAUUACAAGCUUCUAACAGAGCGCUCACCCUGCGUAGCCCAUGACUGCUGAGAGAUGGACUUGGAGAAGGAGCUGGUCAAAGGCUUUUGUAAUAUGAGAGGAGAAGAUAAAAGCUCAAAGGUGCCGAAGUGUAAGAGGGAGAUAACAUGGAGGAGGGAGAGACAACAAUAUGUCAAAUGUGAAGUAAUUGCUGUUUCUCCUUGCCACAAACACGAUUUAUAUAUUUUUUCAAUCCUCUGCCUUUAUUUUAUUUUAAGUACAUAAAAUAAGUUUCACAAAAUAAUGUUUCUUUGAGCUAUUGCCCCCCCCCCAUCCCCAAAUCAUGAACCGAAUUAUUAUAAUUUUUAGGAUAGCUGCUGACAUGGCAAAAGCCCAUAUUACAUUGCAUACACAACUAAAGUAAACGAAUGGCAAGCUACAAAUCACCACAUGGGGGCAAAAGUACACCAAAUUCAGACUUUUACACCCAUGUCAUAAAAUAGGCUAUAUUGUUAGUUCAUUGAGUAGAUGCAAGGGUUUUGCUUAUUACAG